rnacentral:rRNA from 2 species
GUUGGCCUCGGAUCAGGUGGGGAUACCCGCUGAACUUAAGCAUAUCAAUAAGCGGAGGAAAAGAAACCAACAGGGAUUGCCUCAGUAACGGCGAGUGAAGCGGCAACAGCUCAAAUUUGAAAUCUGGCGCAAGCCCGAGUUGUAAUUUGCAGAGGAUGUUUCGGGUGAAGCCACGGUCCAAGUCCCUUGGAACAGGACGUCAUAGAGGGUGAGAACCCCGUACCUGGCCGUCGGUGCCCCCCGCUGUGAAACUCCUUCGACGAGUCGAGUUGUUUGGGAAUGCAGCUCUAAAUUGGUGGUAAAUUCCAUCUAAAGCUAAAUACCGGCCAGAGACCGAUAGCGCACAAGUAGAGUGAUCGAAAGAUGAAAAGCACUUUGAAAAGAGAGUUAAAAAGUACGUGAAAUUGUUGAAAGGGAAGCGCUUGCGGCCAGACUUGCCCGCGGUUGCUCAGCCCGCCUUUUGGCGGGUGCACUCUUCCGCGGUCAGGCCAGCAUCGGUUUGGGCGGCCGGACAAAGGCGCCGGGAACGUGGCCUCCCCUCGGGGAGGCGUUAUAGCCCGGCGCGCAAUGCGGCCAGCCCGGACCGAGGUUCGCGCUCUGCUAGGAUGCUGGCGUAAUGGCCGUAAGCGGCCCGUCUUGAAACACGGACCAAGGAGUCUAACAUCUAUGCGAGUGUUUGGGUGUCAAACCCGUGCGCGUAAUGAAAGUGAACGGAGGUGGGAACCGCAAGGUGCACCAUCGACCGAUCCUGAUGUCUUCGGAAGGAUUUGAGUAAGAGCAUAGCUGUUGGGACCCGAAAGAUGGUGAACUAUGCGUGAAUAGGGUGAAGCCAGAGGAAACUCUGGUGGAGGCUCGCAGCGGUUCUGACGUGCAAAUCGAUCGUCAAAUUUGCGUAUAGGGGCGAAAGACUAAUCGAACCAUUU